rnacentral:lncRNA from 11 species
GGGAGGGCAGAGAGGAGUGCUGGCCACCUGCGGCGGCGAGAGAGACGGUGAAAGGAACAGCCCGCCUCUUUCUUGGAUCCCGGGGAAGCCCGCACCAAUGACAAUCUGGCGCGCCGCCCCUUUGCCCCGCCCCCUUCCCAGGAGGGGCGUGGCCAGUGGAAGCGGGCGAGGAAGAGCUUGAGAGGGAGCGCGAGCGCGGGAGGAGGCGGUGGCGUGCUGUUGGGUCUCCUCAGAGCGGGACCGGGGCAGGCGGAGAAGGGAAGGGCAAGGCUAGGAAGAGGAGGAAGGAGGAGCGACUGCGUGCGUCAGGUCCUGCUGGCAAAGUCGGCAAAGUUCAGGCGAGAGGCGCCUCGGAGGCGAGCGAGCGAGCGAGAGAGCGAGGCCAGCCCGGCGAAGGCGCCUCUCUCUCCUCGCAGGGAAGAAACUUGGCUCGCAUGGAGCGGGAGGCAGCCUGAGCCUCCCCUAUGGGCGCCGCUUCGUCGGCGUGAUGGCCAAAUGGCUGAAUAAGUACUUCAGCCUGGGCAACAACAAGACCAAGAGCCCCCCGCAGCCGCCCCGGCCGGACUACCGCGACAAGCGCAACGGGACGGCGGUGACGGGGAGCGGAGGGAACAGCAACAGCAACAGCGGAGGGGGAGGAGGAGGAGGAGGAGGAGGAGGGCACCCCAGCCUCAACCACAGCCACAACCACCGGGCACCACACCUCGCCGGGCUUUCCGCGCCACGACACCAGCGACCUGCUCCGCGCCUACCGGGCCCAGAAGGAGCGCGACUUCGAGGACCCCUACAGCGGGCCGGGGUCUUCGCUGCGGAAGCUGAGGGGCGCUGUGCCGCGCCGGAGUACUGCGCGCCCGAGGAGCUGCUCCUGGCCGAGAGCGCCGACGCCAAAGCCCUUUCUCGGCCGCCUCCUGCUGUGGAGGGAGCAGCGCCAGCACCACCGCGUCCUCCUCGCUGCCCUCCGCCUCGCCGCAGCUCUUCCGCAGCCAGAGCGAGCGCCGCGCCGCCCCCGCCCCGGAUCCCAACGCCGCCGCCGCCACUGCCGUCAAGUACAUCUCUCCGAAGCACCGGCUCAUCAAGAUCGAGCCCAGCAACGAGACCGGCGGCAAAAACGGAAACAGCAGCGGGGGAGUCGGAGGCGUCACCUGGAGCCCCCCCGGGAGCACCAAGAAGCUCAACAAGUGCGCCGAGCCCGCACCGGACACCGGCGCCAAGAAGGAGAAAUUUGUAGGUCCUCUGGAGGACAUUUACUUCAGUCAGUCAGGACUAGACUGACAAUUGUUGCCCAGAAAGGUUUUUCUUCGACCGCUUGCAAAUUGUGGAAUGACCUGCAGAAAGAGGUUCAACAGCUGGCUAUUCUGUCUGAAAUUAAAACAGCACUGAAGACUAAUUUCUCCCAGCAGAUCUAUACAAAUAAUUUUAAAUUAUGAAUUGAUUGUUUUAAUACAUAUGCUCUUUUAACUGAUGUUAUAGUUUUUAACUGGUUAAGUAUUUUAAUUGGCAUUUUGUGUUAUUUUGGUGCGUUGUAUUUUAAUCCAUAGUUCUCUGCCUUGACUCAUAGGAAGAUCUGGGUAAAUAACAACAGCUUUGUAACAUUUGUAGAAAUGGUUUACUUUGUUGAAUCAAACUUAAGAAUUAGACUUUAUUGUACUCUAAGUGCUUAUUGUACUUUUAAGGUUAUAUAUUAUUUGAUGCCAUGGCUGGUACAAUAAAUAAUUCAGUCAGAAUGAAAGUUGGGUUUUUAUAUCUGGAGAAGACAUUGAAGGUCCAUGUUGUCCAGCAUUUUGCUUUCUCCAAAGACUAAACAGAUACACAUGAGAAGGUUAUACAAAUAGGGCAGACACUACCUAUACAUAGUUUACUUAAAUACCCUGAAGGCACCAGAUCCUAUCUGGUCUUGGAAGCCAAAGCAGAGUCAGCUAUGGUUAGUACUGGAAAUACCAGGUGCUGUGGGCUAUAUUUCAGAGGAAGGAACUGGCAAAACCACCUCUGAGCUUACAAAAUUCAUUGGUUUGCCAUACAUCGACAGGUGACUUGAAGACCCAUUCUCCCUGCACACAAACAUAUACAGUUCCAUUUAGCCCCCUUUGCAAAAUUAUUGUGGUUAGAUAUAUGUUGUACAAAUCCUGGUAAUGCUUGUAAAAAGCAUUGGAGUUGUUGAUUGUCAUAGCAUGAACUACUCUAGUUAGCCUAUGCCUUGUGUGAAAUAGUACUUUUUGCUUUUAUCUGACCCAAAUCUACUACCAGCCAAUCUCAUUAGAUUGCAGUAUUACUGAGGAAUUGAAUGAUUCCCUCCUCAAUUUUUUCACAUUGUUCAUAAUUUUCAAUAUUAUGUUCCCUUUUGAGUAUUUUUAAACUGUACACACCUUCAAUAAUUCAACAUCCUCAAAAAAGUGCUCCUUGGUUAUUUAUGCAACUUUUUAGAGUUUCUGUGAUAUGAGACAACUAGAACCUCACAUAGUAUAAAGGCUCACUGGGAAUGUAUAUAAAGGUAUGUUUACUUCUUCC